GAUGAACGCUAGCUACAGGCUUAACACAUGCAAGUCGAGGGGAAACGAUAGAGAAAGCUUGCUUUUUCUAGGCGUCGACCGGCGCACGGGUGAGUAACGCGUAUCCAACCUGCCCAUCACUUGGGGAUAACCUUGCGAAAGUAAGACUAAUACCCAAUGACGUCUCUAGAAGACAUCUGAAGGAGAUUAAAGAAUUUCGGUUGUCGAUGGGGGAUGCGUUCCAUUAGGCAGUUGGCGGGGUAACGGCCCACAAACCUACGAUGGAUAGGGGUUCUGAGAGGAAGGUCCCCCACAUUGGAACUGAGACACGGUCCAAACUCCUACGGGAGGCAGCAGUGAGGAAUAUUGGUCAAUGGACGAGAGUCUGAACCAGCCAAGUAGCGUGAAGGAUGACUGCCCUAUGGGUUGUAAACUUCUUUUAUAAAGGAAUAAAGUCGGGUAUGGAUACCCGUUUGCAUGUACUUUAUGAAUAAGGAUCGGCUAACUCCGUG
rnacentral:rRNA from 1 species